UACGUAGGGUGCAAGCGUUGUCCGGAAUUAUUGGGCGUAAAGAGCUCGUAGGCGGUCUGUCGCGUCUGCUGUGAAAACCUGGGGCUUAACUCCGGGUCUGCAUUCGAUACGGGCAGGCUAGAGUUCGGUAGGGGAGAUCGGAAUUCCUGGUGUAGCGGUGAAAUGCGCAGAUAUCAGGAGGAACACCGGUGGCGAAGGCGGCUUUCUGGUCUGUAACUGACGCCGAGGCGCGAAAGCGUGGGGAGCAAACAGG
rnacentral:rRNA from 1 species